CUCAUUUUGCUUUGAAAUUGAGUUUGCCUGGGACCCUGGGCUUUGUAUUACUCAUAUUGUUGUGUGCUUUUCUUUUCCAGGUGCACGCACGAGCCCCAAAUUCAGUUUUUAUUGGUUUUAAGUGAGGAUUGGCUCCGGUGUGGGUUCAGGGCUCCUGGACUUUGAUCAUUGGGGUCUCAGCUGUCGUCGCUUCCAAGGAGCCUUCCAUGGUCUCUCCUCCAGUCUCAUUUUCUGCUGUGGGGUGGUGGCCCCAUCUUUCCAUUUUUAAAGACUCUCUCAAUACCAGAGAAGUAACUGUUUGAGAAAAGUCAGAGGGAAAAAGAAUCUCCAUGCACCAGCCUAUGCAGCUUUGAAUCAAAUACAACGUUGAACGUUUAAAAUGAGCAAGCUGAGAAACAGAGAGGUUAAGUAACCUGCCCUACACAGCUAAGAACUCCCUCGAAUUCCGCCUUAUAAAAAGUUUGGCAUUGAAUGGCCUUGUUUACACUGUGUAUAAGUGUUUUUAUGUUAUUACUGCACGGUGUCCAGAAGCACAAACAUUAUUUUCCCGGACAGCAGACUGCAUGUCUGUUUAGUGGUGAUGCAGUGUGGUUCCCCCAAAGAUCUUUCUGUUCAAAGAUCCGGCGACCCAGUGGGCAAGUGGAUCAACCCAGUUAAUCCGAUCAAUGUGGGACUUCAAGGGUGCUGCAGUGCUUCCACUGGCCACAAGAGGGCUCCAUUUCUUCUCCCCAAAAUGUCCACAGCCAUGACAGCGCUGGGGGCCACAGAU